rnacentral:piRNA from 1 species
UGGCUGAUACUGGAAUGCUGUGGAAGUC